rnacentral:misc_RNA from 1 species
AUAAUAAUAAUAAUAAUAACAACUACUGGAGUACGAACAACAAGAUUUCUUGGAUAUUUUGAACAAUCUAGUCCUUCAUUCACAAGUAAUAAGUGAUCAAAAUUUUAGAAUAUUAAUUUUGUACACAGCUGCACUAAACAGAAACUAUUAAAAUUCGGAACCCACAAGAAAGAAUUUCUUGUAAAAUUACAUCCUUCAAGGACAAGAUGACAAAAUCAUUAAGCCCGAAGUCAACUUGUGAAUCACCCAACAUACCUUAGUACAUCAGCAGUGUGUCCA